CCGCCCCCAGAAUUGUGGCCUCGUCCUCUGAUUGGUUGGAGAACAAGCACAUCCGGGGCCUUCUUCCUGUUCCGCCUCUUGCUUGUUAUUGGUCGUUAGAUGUUUUGGUCAGCUAUGGAGCAUGCGUAUUGGGAGGGAUAUCCGGAAUGAAAUGGUCCUCCAUGAGAGCCACAAGCGGGCAUUCAACAACUUGAAAACUGGAUUGAAAAUGAGAGACAGAGCAGCCACUCCAGAAGCUUCCAAAAUCACGCUGCACCUUCUUGAACUGCUGCGAUCCAUGUGGUGACGUAGCUCCCAUGUUGCAAUUUGGACAUGGACUUUGCUGGCUUGGCCAGAAUUUAUUGCCCAUCUGUGAUUGCACAGAGGGCUAUCAAGUGUCAGCUGCAUUGCUGUACGGCUGGAGGCACUCACAGACCAAACCAGGGAAUUGGAAAGGAAGUAUUUACUGACAGGCUGCUCAACUCAAACUUUGGAUCAAGAACUGUCAGAUUCACUUCAUUCUCAGGAGCUUUGAACAUUUAAGGAACAAGUGUCAUUCACAGUGAAGAGAAACCAUACAGGUGGUCUGUGUGGACAAGCCUUCAGUCAAUUGUCUGGCCUGUCGAUACGUAAAUGCAGUUCCCUGGUUUCUCUGUGCUGUGCGUGUCCUUGUCUUUGUCCAGAUUGGGCGAUCAGGUGAAAUUGAGACAAUGCAGAGAGAAGGCCUAUUUUUUUCUUGUUGUGAAUGUGUUUUUGUUCUUCCUUAUUCUCCUGUUGGACGUGGGUAUUGCUGGUCAGGACAGCAUUUGUUGUUCAUCCCUAAUUUACCUUGAACUGAUGUCAGAGGGCAGAUAGGGAUCAACCAUGUUGUUGUGGGCCUCAAGCCACUUGUAUGCCAGACCAGGCAAGGACUUCCCUUCCAAAGGGACAUGAAUGAAUGGGAUUUCAGGAAAUUAAAGCCAUGGCCUCUGUUCCUGAAAUUCAAGUUUACUUUCCAGAUUUUAUUCAUUGAAUUUAAACUCCAGCAGCUGCUGUGUCUCAGUCCCCAGGGAUUAUCACCACUGCACUGCUAUCUCUCCGCUGUAUUGCCUUACUGUAGAGGAUAAUGUUCACUGUUCAGAUCAUCCCAGAGUGACAGAACAGGAGAAGGCCAUUUGGACCAUCACACCGGUGUUGGUUCUUGUUGAGAAAGGGAUUGAGUGAAAGGAAAAAGUACCAGCUGAUGCAUGUUUGCAACAUUUACAAUGUGUGCCAUGUCAGGAUAAAUGUGGUUUAAUGUAGAUUGAAGUGGUUACUGAGAGCAAGAAGCUGAUGCAGAGACAAUGUGAGCAAAAUUAACUUAGCUGCUAACAAACAUCAAUUUGUUGGUGACGACAGCAGAGAAUGGUUUCAAUCCAGUGACCUUCUGGGUAAUGGGCCCAGCAUGCUCCCUUUACACCACGCCCUGCCAGGUAACUCAACUGGAACACAUUUGACUUCCUUCUUGCUUUCGAAUGGCAGUGCGCACACACACACACACAAACACACACACAAACACACACAGACUCACACACACCAAUGUAUGAUUAACUUACACACAAUGUCACAAAGCUGCAUUAGAACAUUAUUCAAACGAGCCACCACACACUGCAGCGCAGAGCAGAAGAAAAUCACCUAUACAGCGUAUUCAAAAAGAAUGGGAACCCUAUGAACACAGUCUGCCGAUUCCGCAGCAAUAAACCCAAACAAACAGGCAAAACGGGCUCAGAAACCAUAACCACGCUCCCCUACAUCAAAGACAUUUCCGAAAUGACUGCCAGACUACUCGGACCUCUUGGCAUCAGGGCAGCCCACAAACCCACCAGCACACUAAAACAGCAGCUAAUGAACUUAAAAGACCCUAAACAGACAACAAACAAAACAAACGUCAUCUACAAAAUACCUUGCAAGAACUGUGACAAACACUACAUUGGACAAACUGGCAGAAAGCUAGCCACCAGGAUACAUGAACAUCAACUAGCCACAAAACGACAUGACCCACUAU